CUUUAUUGCGGUCCCCGCCUUACGGGGCCGUCUCUCGCCGCGCGUACACCGCGGCCGUCUCAAACCACAUCUUCUCCACCGCCUCCUGGCCCAGCGCGCACAUGGCCAUCAGGUGCUUCCACCCCGUCUUGGCCGUGGUCAUGAGGUACUCCUCGUUCUCCGGGUACAGCAGCGCCGUGUGGGCCGCCAUGACGAGCGACUGCGCGAAGCGGCCGCUCACCAGCAGGAACAGCGCCGCCCGCUCCCCGCCCGUCAGCGGCACCACGCUCUCGAAGCCCGCCAGGACGUGGCCGCCCACGCGGAGCGGCUCGGCGCUCUCCACCAUCAUGUACAUAAUGGCGAUGGCCGCCUCGAACACGUAGCGGCCGUAGCUCAUGUCGCUGAAGUCCAGCACGCCCGACACGCGGUACUGCGGGGCCGCCCCGCGCGGAGAGCCGGGAACCACCAGGAUGUUGUGGUCGUUGAGGUCCCCGUGGUUGAUGCCUAAACGCAGGAGAAUGAAAAACGGUAUUUAAUGACUGAGCCAGCCGUGUCAGCGGGCCUGGUUCCUUGUCUGCAAACCCGGUUUCCUGAAACAAGCUCCAACGUGAUACUGGGAUCAAACACUCACAAGGUCGAAAACUGCUUAUCUUGGGUGUGACUUUCUCCUUGAACUGCUGGAUGACCCAUUCCACCACCUCCCGGUACUCGUUCUGGCCCAAGGCGUCCACGUACUGCUCCAGCAGGGGGACGUUGGCCAGGUUCCAGAUGAACUGACCUCGAUGCAGACUACUUACUGAUGGAUGAUGGAACUGCUGCAGGAAGAGAACAGAAAAUAGGCCAUACAUUAAAAUCUGUACUUCAUCCCAACAAGUAAAAGUAGAAUCUGAAGGAUUAUUUCAUCACAGAAUGGCCUGGGUUGAAAAGGACCACAGUGCUUAUCCAGUUCCAACCCCCUGCUAUGUGCAGUGCAGGGUCACCAACCAGCAGACCAGGCUGCCCAGAGCCACAUCCAGCCUGGCCUUGAAUGCCUCCAGGGAUGGGGCAUCCACAGCCUCCUUGGGCAACCUGUUCCAGUGAACAGUAAGAUAGGCAAACCUAUCAAUAUCUACGUAGAACUUGAAUGUUUUUUUCUCCAUUCUUCCAGUACAGAUUAUCCUAAACCCUUUGGCACUGAAUCACUUAAAAUUGAUGGUGACUUCCUGCAGCAUGACAGGGAUGCUGUUGCACAGAGGCCUUGCCAAGGCUGCAGUCACACAGCUGGAUUCUGCAGCUGGUGCUACAGAAGUUGUUGGAGCAGAAGAGACAAAAACUGCCACAGAUGCACUCUGUGCAUUGAAAGAGUCAAGCCUGAGAAUCAUCUGGCAUGUGCAGUGUUGUUAAGGCAGAAGUGCUUGGCAGAGCUGCUGGAUGGAGCUUUGUUCAUAUGAAAAUGUCUACAGGCUCUCAAACAUCUAUACAGUACACAGAGACCCCAGCAAACAGCCCCAAGUGUGCUUCUCACUUCUUAUGAGCAGCUGGCUCCUCUUAAAGAGAAACUCCGGUUUAGAAUUAAGGCUGUUACUUAAAUAUAGCUAAAUGAUAGUUAAAACUGCAACUCAUAUAUAAGUAAGGAACAACACCAAGCCCAAAACAAAAGUCACAACAGAGGAUCCAUAACGCUGUACAGAACACCACAUUGGUAGGUAGAAUGCCAUCUUGUGAGCAACCACUGCAAUUUUCCCUGCACAAAUCAGCAUGGAACUAUAAAGGAGAUACCAGAUGUGGGAAAGGCAAUAAGGCAGAGAUCUCAAGAAUUGCACGAGCCUUUGUCACACUGUAAAGUUAUCAGCAGCCUCUUAUUUCCACGAGAAGAUGUGAGACACAUCCAAGCAAAAAAAAGACACCAGAAAGAGGAAGUGGUGCAGUGCUAUUUUGUGCACAAAAGAACACAAAGCACAUUGCCGUGCUGUCAAGCUGACAAAAUGAACUGACUGGAUAGAAAAGACAGGCUGUACAUUCCCAUCUGCCAUCAGAACAUGUAAUACCUUCGCUUUAGUUUUGGUGUCAGUGACAUCGAGAAGUUUUGACAGUAAUAACUGUAGCAUUCUCUCUCUUAGAUGACAAAUGUUGGUACACGAUAAUCCAUAUAUUAAUGGCUUAAGAGCCUUUCCCAUCAAAAUUUGCUUUCUUGUCUACUAAAUCCUCCUUGGGAGGACAAGUCACAGGCAUCUUUUGAGACUAGCUGGCCUAUAUAAAUUAUUUUAAUCACAUUAUCAGAGCAUGACCAGACUAUGAAGAGGCAAUAGUAAAUUAUCUUUCCCAAUGGAAAAACGCCGUUGUAAUUUCAGAAUGUGGGUAGUAAAGCCAGCAAUUCACAUUUCAUAACUGGCUGAAGCCGGUAGCCAGGACACAGAAAGAAAAGGUUAAUGAAAGGCCAUAAAUAAUGCAAGAAUUCUUUUAUGUUUCAAACUUAAUUACUGGAUGAUUUAUCAGUUUUAUUAUCCUGUAUAAUUAGAGAGUAAAGAAAAUCUCCUAUGCAUUAAGAUUAGUUGACUGAGAGCAGUGGAACUAAGAGAAGUGUCACACAUCUCUCUCCAUUAAAACAGCUGGCAUUACAGAAAAGGAAAUGACUGCUACUGCUGUAGGAAUGGUUGCUGUUUUAAUGGCCAGGAGGAACAGAGCGAGUCAAAAUGAGUUCAGAAUAAGAGAUGGGCCACUGGUACCUGACACAAGCAUUUAAUGCUUCAGAACCAAGCUGUGUGUGGCUCUGGUUCAGGCAGCUAGGGUUCACUCUCCUCAUUUACCAGGCUUCAAAUGCCAAACAGGCGAGUUCUGUGUGAGCAAAAAUGAAUGCUGUCUCCCUUAUUGUGGUACAAAAAUGCAUUGCAAAAGGAUCAAUGAGACUCUGCCAUAAGCAGUGAGCGGUCAGGUUAAUCAGGUGACUUGGGGGCAAGGUUUUAGCCAGUUACAGCAUGGAGGGUGGCAUCCGAAAGUUGGAUUAAGCUCUGAAGUCACCAACUUCUUUCUGUUUUAAAAUCAGGAACGCUGACAGAAAACAGUAAGAAACAGGGAGAAGAAAUGAAACGUGAAUGAAAUCUGCAGAACCAGAACAACAAAAACUCACCUCUGUGAGAGCUUUAUCCAGACUGGCAGCCAGCUUACCAAUGUCAUACAGAAGCUGAGUAGGUGCAGCAAUUUUAGCCACAGGUGUGCCCGGCAGUGCACAGAUGUGUCUGUUUUUUCAAGUGAUAUGGGAGCUGUUUGCAGAGUUAAGCAUUCCUCUCCUUCAUUUGCUCAGCUGCUGGCACGUGAAGUUUGGACUUUUACAGGCACAGUCACCUGACACGGAUCCAUCCAUCCCCUACCAGCUACACUGCAACCUGAGGUUCUACUUUUGGCUACACUGCAACCUGAGGUUCUACUUUUGAUAGCCAAAUUUAACCUCAAUUUUGGAUACUCCUUCUGUGCAAUUUUGUCACCACUACAACUGGUGCUGCAUCUAGAUUACCAACCUAAAACACCUUUGAAUCAGUAGACCCAGGAAACCUACCAGGGCAAUUGAACUGAAAAAACAGCUGCAGGAUAACCCGCCCUUCCCUAUACUUGCAGUUCUCACUAAAACAACCAUCUUCCCACUAGCAAAACCAGCAGCGAGCCAUCCUGCACCAUACCUCAAAGCCCACACCCACAGGUGCUUGCUGCAGUGCAUGCAUCUCACCAGCACUGCUGCUCUUAGGCUGCUGAAGGUCCAGCAUCUCUGUGGGCUUUUCUGCACUACGCCGUGCAUUUGAUGGAGCUCAGCUCUGGCAUUCUCAGCACAGCAUCUGUGCACCCUGAAGUUACUCCUUCUAGCUCAACAGCUGAAAGGGAGGUGUGCAAUGGAUUGGGAGCUAUAGAAGUGCCAGAGCUGCAGUGCAGUGCUGCAGCUCCUCACCUCCCUCCUGCACAGACAUGAUGCCGCCGUCCUUCGUGAGCCGCGGUGUAGCUGAGGGGAAGCCGUGGGCGCUGAGGAACACCAUGGCCCGGGUCUGCGCCUCGAUGAGGGCGGGCUGCUGGCUGUCUUCUGAGUUGGUGAUUUUGAGGACGUACUCCUCGGCCCCUUCAGCCUCACCUCCGUCUGAGACCUUCACGUGGAAGUUCUGAUCGUCGUAGCUGGGCAGGGGCCUGACCCACACCGCCUUUAACCCGAACACCUUGUCCACCAGCUCGGCCGCCUCCUCCUCGCCGAACGCCGGCUUGGUGGCUGCCUGCGGCUGGCGACGGUCUCCAGAAGCCAUCGCGUCUGUGAGAGAAAGACAGAGACUAGAAGAGGUGAGCCGUGCCGUGACACCAGCAGCGAUAACGGUCGCAACAAACAAACCAACAAACAAACCGCCGAGCCGGCCCCGCGUUCCGCACCCCCGGGAGCCGCGCCGACCUUUGCCCUGCCCGGGGGAGCUCCCCCGGCCCGGCCCGGCCCUCCCCGCCAGCGGCCGCGCUGCGCAGGAGCGGCCGGAGGAGCGCCGCCCCGCCCGCGGUCACCCAGCGGAGCGCAGCCGCCCCGAGCGGGGGAGUGGUGGCGGCCGGAGCUGGGCGGCAGCGCCGGGCCCUGCGUAGCCCUGGGGGAAGGGAACAGCGCGGCCUUCCUGCCGGCAAGCGCUCCCUCUGCCAGCCCCACAGCAGGGCUACGUCGCGGUACGAGCACGGAACAAAAGCUGUCUCCUUUGCCUCAGUCAUUUACCCGAACCCAAGUCGCCACGUCGGCGCCCGGCGGCGGGGGGCUCGGGGCGGCCAGCCCUGCAGCUACAGGCUGAGACCCGCACGCUCGGGAGGGGGGAACUCCGAGCCAACGGUAGGGCUGAGCUGGGAUGGAAAGAGUGCUACGGUUACUGACACGCCUUAAGCUCCGGCUACCUGCGAUCCAGUCGGUCUGAAACAGGAAAGCAUUCUGGCUGCACCUGUGAGUUAAAGCGUGCCCUGGGUUACAGCCAGCACAGAACGUGACCCGCAGCUAAAUGUUACACAUGCCCUAUCUACGUGUAGGGGAGGGGCAGCUGUCAGACAAACCGCAAUCUCUGCAAAUCCUGGCACCGCCUGCUGUAGUACACAACCCAAACCAGGAGCCUGCCUGACCUACAUUCUAAAUGAGAGCAGACAUUUUCCUGAAGAAAAAAAUACACAAAUUAUUCCAAGGCAAAUGACUGACAGAAUAUCCAGAGGGAGAGCUGAAGCUCAGCUGACACAAGAAGUCUCUUUCUAGACCAAUAAAGCAUGCUGUGGAAACCAUGAGAGAGAUGCUCCUACUGAGCAAAUGCAAUGGAAGCACAAUUACACCCUUUUCCUUGCUCCGCCCCCAACUUCAUGCACACUUACCGGUGCCAUGUUAGUAUCAGGCCGUGCCUUCUAUUCAAAAUACAUGGUAACAUACAAGAACUGUGAUACAAUUUUCUUUAUUAAAAAUAAUUUACAGUAUCAGUAACGUUUUAUGCACAAUUGUCAUGAGCUGAACUUCUGGUAAGAUAUCUAUACAAUACUCACUGAACUUAAAACUUAACUCUUUUGUUGGCUUUGAACAGCAGACAUUGAUUUGCAGUUGCUUAAAUACGAUUAAUAUACAGAAUUUCAUGUUCUUAAACGUAGGUGUAAAAUGUAUAAACAUCAACACUAUCCCAAAGCUUGGUCAUUUGGGAGGGCACAAAGAGUAAAUGUUUAGAAAAACUGGAAUAUUCUUCUCCAAAUCAAACAGGAGAGAGAAUCCUAGGUUAAAUACAUCUAACACAGUCACUUCGUCAAACAGGAGCAUUUUCUCCUAUGCUUUAAGAUACUAGAAAGUCUAAUUGAACAAUGCUUUGUGUGUGUGAUCACAGCAAUCUUUGCCUGCAUUGUAUCCUGCCACUGCCCGAAGCAGGCUUCACUGCUGCCCAUCUCAAGCUCACAGGAUCCUAGCAGUGAGUUCCAAGUUCAACGUCCUGCCUUCACUGCCAAGUUACUGACCCGACCUGAUGGCGUUCCCUGCUGCACGAGGGGAGAGGGGGCAGGCACACGACCAUGGAUAAUGGCAGCUCACUACUGCGUGAGAAGCAAGAGAUGGGUACAUAAGCAGUGCCGUUCCCCUCAGCACCUACCACCUUCAGGCACACACGUCCUAAGGGUGGGAAUCGGUCUGCUCAAGUCACAAAGAUGCUAUGGACAUUGGUAAGGUUGGGAGAGGACCCACUGCAGCAACAAGAGCAGGAGCCUCCAAGUUGACAGCAUCUGCACGUGGAGCUGUCUGUCACUGAUAUUAAGGCAUAAGAGUGCAGCAGAUUUUAAGUAGUUGCUAUGGUAACGAAACCAUCACACUUCUUAAGAGAUGAGUAUUGGUGGCAAUAACUUGUAAGUCACAGCCCUUGAAAUUGCACUUAGCUUCACAAUACUGGUUUACCUUGACAUGGCUUGGAUCACUGUCUCCUUCUGAGUGUCACUGCACUGGGAGGGCAGGAGGCCGUGCCCCACUCAAGCACUAGCAGUUGCACAAGUAUUUUAGAUAGCCUCGCAGCUGUAUUUCACUGAUCUCCUGCACAAAGCAUCACUAUGCGUCAGCUCUAAAGUCAUAUUUGUUCCUUAGUAAUGAACAUGCAUUUUCUUCAAUUAUGAAUACACUUUUGAGCUGGAAAAGAAGUAUUAGAUGCUGUUUGACAAGUAGUAAGAUCUCAAUUCCUGAUAAAAUUACCAGAAUGUACCACAGAACAGAAAACCAUUCAGCAUUCAGUUGGAUACAGUAUUAGAAAAUGCAUUGAUUUAUUACCCAUAUCAGUGGUAUGAGUCACUGGAAUAGUUUUUCUCAUCUCAGCUAAAAGAAAAACACAGCAAAAUUAUUGGAACAAGUUAUACAGAAUUUCAAACCUUAGGGAAUUUUGGCCAGUAAAAGAAAAAAGGUAUCAGAAUUAUGCCAAUGGAAUUGAAUUCUGCAGCUGAGCUGUCUCCAGAUUAUGCUGUAUCGAUGUAAUUGUGCCAGGGUUUUUUGUUACUCAGAUUUUUAGGCAUGUCAUAAACAUACUAUUUAAGGAUGCCAAUGGUGCACAUGUUAGCCUGCACGUCAGCUGGCUCAGCAACUAGUUAGAGACUGAAAGCACACACAGUAAAACUGAUGUAGUCUUCUGGCAAGUUAGGACAUUUAAGACAAUGUUUAUCAAGGUCAAAAAUCUAAAAGCAAAAUCUUGACAACAACUCCUAGGCAAGUUUCUGCAGCUUUGUCCUCCAAAAGCAAUCCAUCACUCUAUAAGCAGAAGUGGUAUUAUGAAGCUGGUCAAGAUGCAGGAGCACAGAAAUACCUGAAGCUAUCAGUAAAGGCGCACCUGCACAGAUUUAGAAGCUCUCAGUGAUUAAGUGGUAAAACAAAGGCAUUUCUGCAGAAACUGUGCAUCUUCCAUUCAUGUUAAAUACAGAACAGUUUUUAUAAGCAAUAUGCUCAUAAUUAGACUUAGUGGAGCUGCAGUGGCCAAGAGCCAAAUAUGUUCAGUAUUCUGCAAUCUUCAGCAGGGGAAUCUGGUGCCUGUUUGGAAGAGCUGCAAACUAAAAAACAUUCCAAAGCAUUAAAAGGCAGCAUGGCUACCUCAGCAAUUUACCAUGUGACAAGUGUAACUGAUUUAGACAUAGGCUGCAUAUAAAGCAGAGUAAUUAAACAGUCGUAAUAUAAAUUCCUAAAGGUUAAAAUACUGAGGGGAAGUUCUCUGGCAAGUGAUAUCAGACAAUACAGUAGAAACCAACGCUACGAAGGACAAGCUUAAGGAAGAUAUGACAAAGUACUCAACUGAAGGGCACUGCAGCUUACCAGAAUGCUGGGGGGCUGCACUUCAACACCAGCCAUGUAUUGUGGGCGUUCUCUUACAAGCAGAGAUGUUGCUCAGAAAAACAUCAUACUUCUAUAGCCCACAGCACUUCAUGGGGUGAUCAGUUUUCCAUCUGGAUCCGGAAGGGAUGUAGUUCCAUACAACAACACGGGACAUGAUGGGCCUUACGUACCCAUCAUUUAAAGAGCAGGACAUUCAAAACUGAAGAUCUAUUUUGAGCUCUGGAUGCCAAAAAAAAAAAACAACCCACCCAUCUGUUUGGCCUUUAACCUUCCAUACCAUCUGCUACCCUUAAGCCAACAGCAGUACAGAGAUUUACAGGUGCAAAAACUAAGUGGAAACAACUGCAGAAAACCUUCUUACAUAAUAAUCUUCAGCACCAUCAGUUUGAGAUUUCACACGGUUUAUUUACAAAAUGGUCUGAGAAAACAUCCCUUCCAUACUUACAGCUCUCUCUGCCACAACACACGUCAAUUUUAGCAAUGUUUAAUAGCACCAUUGGAAUAUUAUUUAAAAUCAGGAAGGAUCUUGUUUGCAGUUACAAUGAUUCACAAUCUUUUACAUCCAUGGACGAAGUAACUUAGAGCACACUAGGGCUGUCUGCAGUUCCACAGUACAGAUUCCUGGGUUCACACAAGGCAUUUUCAGAGUUACCAGUUAGUGCGAGGUACCCAUACAGUCAGUAGCUACUAUAAGAAUCUUCGAGCCACAAAGUUUAGACUUCCACCAUUUUUGUAUAAAGUUAUCUCCACAUCGUUUUCAAACAAGGCAAACACGCUGAACACUUUUCCAGUGCUUGUCUUCAAAACAAAAGCAAACAGAGACACCCAUUAGGAGUUUUCCUUUCACUUCCCUUCGCUUACUUUCAGUUAGCACACUAGAACCAAGUUCUGCCUAACACAAACUAAUUCAAUCUGAGUAGCUGCCACUGCACAACAGAGACACUGCUGGGAGCAGAAUGAAGGCUGAAUCCAACCACACAGUUUUGAUCCAGUUGGGACUGUGCUGCACACCUACUGUUAGCAACAAAAAAGCUAUUUCCCUAAGAGGGCACAAAAUAUAGAUACCAUACAGAUACCUGACACAGGAUAGGAAGGUGAAGCCUCCC
rnacentral:lncRNA from 1 species